AUCACAGCCUGCCUUAAACAGGAAAGGUUCUGCUUGUGGAAAAGGAGGUUGUGAGGCAGCAGCAAGGGGUUAUCACCGUGUGCUACCAGAGAAGACCCCCAGUGCUCUCCACAAAGCCUCUCUGCUGUCUGCUCUGCUGAGGCCAUUUCUAAUAAAGCCAACUACAGAAAAGCAGAUUCAGCUUCCUCCAGAUGCACGGAGACAAGAAGUAGAAGUUUUGCCAGUUCUCCGCAUCCUCCUCUGCCUCUGCCCCAGUGAGCCCUUCCUGCUGACACUUCAGGAUCCAAAGUGCAGCUCCAUCCACCAGGUUCUUCCACUGGCAGCAGACCAGGCGACACACCAGCACCAGCUCCACUGCAGGAAUUCCAGAGGCCCGGCGUGCUGAUGGAGCACCGCCGCUCUCCUCGUUAGCGAGCAUCCCCCGCUCGGGAGAGGGGAGGAGGUACCUUCCCUUUCCCACCGCGGUUCGCAGCAUCCUCCCUGAGACCGGUCUGCAUCUCCCCGGGGACCGAUCCGCAUCCCGGUAUCGCCCACCCCGUGCCGUGUCCCCG